rnacentral:tRNA from 4 species
GGUCCCAUAGUUCAAUGGAUAGAAUAUCAGAUUCCGGUUCUGACGAUCCGGGUUCGAGUCCCAGUGGGAUCACCA